rnacentral:rRNA from 1 species
AUUGAACGCUGGCGGCAUGCCUUACACAUGCAAGUCGAACGGUAACGGGCCUUCGGGUGCCGACGAGUGGCGAACGGGUGAGUAAUGUAUCGGAACGUACCUUUCAGUGGGGGAUAACGUAGCGAAAGUUACGCUAAUACCGCAUAUUCUGUGAGCAGGAAAGCAGGGGAUCGCAAGACCUUGCGCUGCUUGAGCGGCCGAUAUCAGAUUAGCUAGUUGGUGAGGUAAAGGCUCACCAAGGCGACGAUCUGUAGCGGGUCUGAGAGGAUGAUCCGCCACACUGGAACUGAGACACGGUCCAGACUCCUACGGGAGGCAGCAGUGGGGAAUUUUGGACAAUGGGGGCAACCCUGAUCCAGCCAUGCCGCGUGAGUGAAGAAGGCCUUCGGGUUGUAAAGCUCUUUCGGCUGGGAAGAAAUCGUAUCAGCUAAUACCUGGUGCGGAUGACGGUACCGGCAUAAGAAGCACCGGCUAACUACGUGCCAGCCGCCGCAGUAAGAC